CAAGCGGUGGAGCAUGUGGUUUAAUUCGAUGCAACGCGAAGAACCUUACCUACUCUUGACAUCCACGGAAUUCGGCAGAGAUGCCUUAGUGCCUUCGGGAACCGUGAGACAGGUGCUGCAUGGCUGUCGUCAGCUCGUGUUGUGAAAUGUUGGGUUAAGUCCCGCAACGAGCGCAACCCUUAUCCUUUGUUGCCAGCAAUACGGUCGGGGACUCAAAGGAGACUGCCGGUGAUAAACCGGAGGAAGGUGGGGAUGACGUCAAGUCAUCAUGGCCCUUACGAGUAGGGCUACACACGUGCUACAAUGGCGCAUACAAAGAGAAGCGACCUCGCGAGAGCAAGCGGACCUCACAAAGUGCGUCGUAGUCCGGAUCGGAGUCUGCAACUCGACUCCGUGAAGUCGGAAUCGCUAGUAAUCGUGGAUCAGAAUGCCACGGUGAAUACGUUCCCGGGCCUUGUACACACC
rnacentral:rRNA from 1 species